AUUGAACGCUGGCGGCAGGCCUAACACAUGCAAGUCGAGCGGAUGAAGGGAGCUUGCUCCUGGAUUCAGCGGCGGACGGGUGAGUAAUGCCUAGGAAUCUGCCUGGUAGUGGGGGAUAACGUCCGGAAACGGGCGCUAAUACCGCAUACGUCCUGAGGGAGAAAGUGGGGGAUCUUCGGACCUCACGCUAUCAGAUGAGCCUAGGUCGGAUUAGCUAGUUGGUGGGGUAAAGGCCUACCAAGGCGACGAUCCGUAACUGGUCUGAGGGGAUGAUCAGUCACACUGGAACUGAGACACGGUCCAGACUCCUACGGGAGGCAGCAGUGGGGAAUAUUGGACAAUGGGCGAAAGCCUGAUCCAGCCAUGCCGCGUGUGUGAAGAAGGUCUUCGGAUUGUAAAGCACUUUAAGUUGGGAGGAAGGGCAGUAAGUUAAUACCUGGCUGUUUUGACGUUACCAACAGAAUAAGCACCGGCUAACUUCGU
rnacentral:rRNA from 1 species